rnacentral:lncRNA from 1 species
CUUUUCAUAAUAUGUAUUUUGUAUAGAUAGUGUUGUGCACGGCACAGUAUAUUUCUAUUGACAGUUUGUAUUAUAAUGUUUUGAGCGAUGCAUAACACUUUUCAUAAUAUGUAUUUUGUAUAGAUAGUGUUGUGCAUGGCACAGUAUAUUCUAUUGAAAAUGUGCUAUCUUCUUUGUAAUAGAAAGUGUUGUGCGCCACACAGAACAUCAAAAUACAGAAUAAACAUGGAAUUUGGUAAUAAUUUCAAGCACAAGAAAUUAUGAAAAUUCCAUAAUUAAAAAUAAUUCCAAGUUGAAAUAAUAGCCUGUUUGAAACAAAUUUAU